UUCCGGGUCGGGGACGAGGGUGACGAGGUGGUGCAUUGGUUGUCGUCAGCUCGUGUCGUGAGAUGUUGGGUUAAGUCCCGCAACGAGCGCAACCCCUAUUGUUAGUUGCCAUCAUUCAGUUGGGCACUCUAGCGAGACUGCCGGUAAUAAACCGGAGGAAGGUGGGAUGACGUCAAAUCAUCAUGCCCCUUAUGACCUGGGCUACACACGUGCUACAAUGGUUGGUACAACGAGUUGCGAGUCGGUGACGGCGAGCUAAUCUCUUAAAGCCAAUCUCAGUUCGGAUUGUAGGCUGCAACUCGCCUACAUGAAGUCGGAAUCGCUAGUAAUCGCGGAUCAGCACGCCGCGGUGAAUACGUUCCCGGGCCUU
rnacentral:rRNA from 1 species